UACGAUCCGCCGCGCACAUUUACAGGCAAGAAAUUACUAUCAAAUCCCCAAAGCGCUCGGCAAACGAAGGGUGCGCGUUGCGCGGGCGAGGGAUCUGAUGUGGACUUAAACACAAAUGAAAGGAGGAUUCAUGCAACAGAUAGAACAGAUAUAUGCCUAACCCGACGCCGUAGAACAGAUAAACACGCUCGCAUUUAUUGAUCCAUUCAUUUUCCCCCAUGGCUCCCAGCGGCUGAUUUAUCUCCAGUGAUGGCAGUGUGCAUCAGCUAAAAGCAAUCCUGUAAAUCACAGGCCUCUCCCUCGCCGCUUUCAUCACUUCAUUAAUUCAAGAUAUCAUUACGGCCACUGGUGACAUAACUCUGAACAAUGGUACACGCUUAAGAUAUUAAUCUGCACUCUGCAACAAAGAGCCUCUCUGUCUCUGGCUGAUUUAGCCACUGCUUAUUUUACGCUGCUGAUUUACAUUGGGUCGGUAAGCCGGGCUGAUUUGGAUUCUGUCACUGAAAGAUAACAAGCUGUCAGAGUUUUACACCCCUAUAGUGAUUGUGUGGC
ensembl:lncRNA